CUGCAACUCAGAAAGGUCAGAUAGCCACUGGCUCCAUGAAGAGUCAGGAAGCUGGUGACAAAGAAAUCGGAGGGCUGGAGGGUAAAAGCAGGCGAAGGUGAUACUCAGAGGAGAAGGACACUGGAGAAGUCAGUCCUGAACCCACCAAUGAGGCUUGCCCUCUCUCACCUGCUGCCAUGUAAGAUGUGCCUGCUUCACCUUCCGCCAUGAUUGUCAGUUUCCUGAGGCCUCCCCAGCCAUGUGGAACUCUCUGUCUUUUCCAGAAUAUCAUAUAAAUGGAAUCACACGAUAGGCAGCCUUUUGAGUCUGGCUUCUUUGACUGAACAGAAUGCAUUCAAGGAUGUGAGAAGAAGAAAGGAGGGGGGAGAGGAGGAGAAAAGGACGUGCAUCAUCUGAAAAUGAAGGGUGUUCUUUAAAGCAGCAAAGUUAGCUCAACAAAACUUAUUGUGCUUUAUCAUGGGGAACUGACAUAGCAGAAAGUGGAACCAACGGUAAGGGGGGACUACUGUAACUAUGGAGGAAUAAGGACAAGAAUUACAGCAGACGUCUCAACAGAAACCAUGCAAGCCAGAGACAACGGAGUGAGAUUUUUAAAGUGUUGAAAGAAAAAAACUGUCAAAACAGAUUUCUACAUCCAGGAGAAAUAUCUUUCAAAUGUGAAAAACAAAUAAAUACUUUUGUGUACCAACAUAAACUGAGGAAGUUCAGUAAUAUUUCCUACUUUACUGGAAAUAUUAAAGGUAGUUCUUCAAACAAAGAAUUUGUUUGGAACUUAGAUCUGCAUACAGGACAUAAAUGAAGGGAAAUAUGCUUUAUCAUAUUUCUCGCUGUAAAAUAUACUUUAUCAUAUUUUCUUGCUAUAACAAGUAACUUGACUGUUUAAAGUAAUAAUAACCAUAUAUUAUAUGGUUAUGGUGUAUGUAAGAGUAAGAUGAGUUACAAUGAUAGUGCAAAAGAUGAGAAGAAAGAAUUGGGAAACACUGUUGUAAGAUCUUACAUUACAUGUGUGGCAACACUGUUAUUUGAAGGUGGACUUAGAUUAUUUAAAAUUGUAUAUUAUAAAACCUAGGGCAAUCACUACAAGUGUUAACAACACAAAAUGUGUAAAAAUCAAUUGACUAUAUUUAUGUAGGUCUAGUUCGGGGCUUUCUCUUCUAUUUCAUUGAUCUAUGUGUCUAUCCUUUUGCUACUGUCUUUAUUACUAUAUCUUUAUAAUAAUCCCAGCACUUUGGGAGACCAAGGUGGGCAGAUCAUGAGGUCAAGAGAUCGAGACCAUCCUGGCCAACAUGGUGAAACCCCAUCCCUACUAAAAAUACAAAAAUUAGCUGGGCAUGGUGGCACAUGCCUGUAGUCCCAGCUAUUCAGGAGGCUGAGGCAGGAGAAUUGCUUGAACCCAGGAGGUGGAGGUUGCAGUGAGCCAAGAUCACACCACUGCUCUCCAGCCUGGCAAUAGAGUGAGACUUUGUCUCAAAAAAAUAAAAAUAAAAAUAAAAAAUAAAAAAUAAAAAAAUUUUAAAUAAAAG
rnacentral:lncRNA from 1 species